CCUACGGGAGGCAGCAGUGGGGAAUAUUGGACAAUGGGCGAAAGCCUGAUCCAGCAAUGCCGCGUGAGUGAUGAAGGCCUUCGGGUCGUAAAGCUCUUUUACCAGGGAUGAUAAUGACAGUACCUGGAGAAUAAGCUCCGGCUAACUCCGUGCCAGCAGCCGCGGUAAUACGGAGGGAGCUAGCGUUGUUCGGAAUUACUGGGCGUAAAGAGUACGUAGGCGGUUAUUCAAGUCAGAGGUGAAAGCCCGGGGCUCAACCCCGGAACUGCCUUUGAAACUAGAUAACUAGAGUCUUGGAGAGGUUAGUGGAAUUCCGAGUGUAGAGGUGAAAUUCGUAGAUAUUCGGAAGAACACCAGUGGCGAAGGCGACUAACUGGACAAGUACUGACGCUGAGGUACGAAAGCGUGGGGAGCAAACAGGAUUAGAUACCCUGGUAGUCCACGCCGUAAACGAUGAUAACUAGUUGUUCGGUCACUUGGUGACUGAGUGACGCAGCUAACGCAUUAAGUUAUCCGCCUGGGGAUACGGUCGCAAGAUUAAAACUCAAAGGAAAUUGACGGNUGAGAGUUGCGAGAGACACGAGGAGAG
rnacentral:rRNA from 1 species